rnacentral:lncRNA from 1 species
GCUUAAUUGAUUUGGAUCAAAGGUCAGGCAGGAGACAUGCACUUAGGGAGAAGUAGCUGGCAUCAUCCCUCACCUGCCAGGAUGAUGGAGCCCUAAGUGGCUGUCUCUCACUUUCCAAGUACAAGACCUGGAAUUGACUCACUAUAAACCAAGUAAGAAAAAUACCCUGAGCUUCUAAGGCCAGAAGUAGGGCCACACGUGGCUCUGAAUGAAGACAAGAAACAUCUCGGAUGGCCGCGUUUGUUGAGCGGAGUUGGAAUAUUGUGUGGGAAUCCUCUAAAGCCACACGGAGGUCCCUGAGAAAGACUCUGCUGUUCCCUGUAAACCAAAGCCAAACUGCUCGCUGUGUCUUGUUGACUGCCAGGCAGUCGGAUCUCUUAUGUCCAGAACAAGGCUGUGACCCAGGAGCUGCUGGUGACCUACUUGUGAUCAGGAGCCACAGAAAAAUGGCAGAUUUUCCACUUCUGGUUGAGAAAUUGAAGCUGCCUCUAGGAGGCUCGGAUGACGGCACAGUGGGAGAUUGUGUGCUUAGCUGCUGAGCUUGCUCAAGGCCAAGGACUCACUGCCUAACACCAAAGCAAUAGAAUGGGGCCAGAGAAAGGCUGAGCAGGUCAAGGUGCUCACCACGAAGGCUGACCUGCGUUCCUGUUAGAAGGAGACCGACUUGGGCAAGUUGGUCUUCCGUCCUCCAGAGGUGUGUUGUGGCACUGCAUGUACACACCCAUACCUACAUGGGAGAGAGGAAUAGCCCUGUGUCCUUCUGUGGUCCAGAACUUUGUGAGCCUGUCUCACAUAUGGAGCAAGACAGAACGGACCAUGAACCCACAUCUGUGGGCCUCAGGCCAUCUGGGACAAUUCGGUGCCAUUUUCCCUGUGUGAGUCCCAUGCCUGUGGGAGUUGUUCUGAGGAGUCUCAGUGAGAAGGCAGAGGCCCUUCCCUGGCAGAGCAUCUGUACACACAUUUGGUGCUGGGUAAGUAGUUAUUGCCAGGACACCUAACACUGAGAUCUAUUUGCUGCUUAUAUCUAUGAUCAUAUAUAUACAUAGGCAUAUAUAUGAUCAUAGAUAUCAUAUAUAUAUAUCAUGUAACUGAUGCUUCCUGGUUUUUUUUAAUAUUUAUUUAUAAUGUAUACAUUACACAACUUUCUGCCUGCCUGUAUGCCUGCAGGCCAGAAAAGGACAUCAGAUCCCAUUACAGAUGGUUGUGAGCCACCAUGUGGUUGCUGGGAAUUGAACUCAGGACCUCUGGAAGAGCAGUCAGUGCUCUUAACCUCUGAGCCAUCUCUCCAGCCUGUGUUUUGUUUUGUUUUUGCUGAGGAGGCCACCAGGGCCAGCGAGGAGUGUCAGUGUCACUAGGACGCUCAAGCAGAGCUUUUCAAUUCCUUUCUUGGUUUCCUAAGUAGCCUGCUGUCAUGGGUAAAUAAUCAGACGUCUGGGAUCGGAGGACAAUAUAUCUGCAGAGGGAAGGAUACUAGCCAGAGUAUGUAGACACGUGCACUACUCAAGACUCAGUAGAAUUUAAGCUGCUUUUGUUGUUGUUGUAGUUUUGCUUGGUUGGUUGAUUUGACG